AAGUCUGGCGGACGAGACUCCGCCCCUUGUCCUGGCUAGGGAGCCGGACCUUAGGUGGAAGUGCCUUGGGGUUUGGGGGGGGGGAAGGGGGUACUGCUGGCUUAGUUAUUGCCCCCACGUCCCUAGCACCUCUAUGCUCUGUCCCGAAGCACCCCCCUCCCCCAAUCUCGCAGUCCUCCCUCCGACCUCCCGCCGCCAGAUAAGUCAGAGCGACUGGAAAGGGCACGCAGAGCCCUGGGGACCAGGUCAGAGAAACUGAUCAAAGAUACUGGAAAGUCGUGAAGAUGGGGAUGUGAGGGGACACCAGGAGACAGAAGCAGAGAGGCGGAAGGGAGCAGAGCGAGGCCAAGACCGGUCAGAGUGUCCACCCCUCCCCGGGGGGGGGGGGGCGCAGGGUAGCCUCGUCCCGCAGGUGCAUCAGAGGCCUCAGCUCACGCUCAGCGGCUGGCCGGCAGGCAACCAGGCCCCCACAGGGCAGCACGCAGAAAGAAAAACUCCAGAAAGAAAGGUAGAGGAGGCAGAGAGAAGUUGGCUGUCUACAGUUCAGGAAGAAAGCUCUCGCCAGAAGACGAAUCUGCCAGCACCUGGAUCAUCACGGACUUCUAGCCUCAGAACCAUGAGAAAUGAAUGGGAAGCCAGCUUCCUUGUCUUGAGAGACUCAGCCAGCCCUGUGGAGAAGCCCAUUCAACAAAGACCUGAGGCCUCAAUCGAACCACGGGGAAGUGAGUCCUGUCACCAACCAUAGGAUGAAGGACAAGGUCCCGCCAGCAGGAGGGGAAAGCGAGAGCAAAGCCCGAGGCAAGCAACAGCCGGCUUCACCAGAACAAGCAGUUCUGGGUUGCACGCAUCCAUCCGGUUCUUUGCAGACAUAAUCCUAUCAAGCUGAAGUCACCCUAAUCAAGUAUGACCGAUGUUCUAUACGGAGAGGGAACUUUGGACAUGACACAGAGGGGAAGGCCGUGUGACAACAGAGGCAGAGACUGGGUGAUGUCGCAGCAGCUGAGGUUGAUGACACCACCAGGGGCUGGAAGACGGGAAGGAGGGCUUCUCUACUGGUUUCAGAGGGAGCAGACCCUGCUGACACCUUGAUUUUGGCCUCUGAACAGUGAGACAAUAAACUUGUUGUUUUAAAUCACCA